UGUAAACGAAUCGAAUAUUUUUGCUCGAUUCGAUAUUCGAUUCGAAAUUUUGAUAUUCGUAUUCGAAAUUAUUCGAUUCGUAUUCGAUUAUAAAUAUUCGAUUCGAUUCGAUUAAUAAACGAAUCGAAUAUGAAAUUUUGAUAUUCGAUUCGAUAUUCGUAUGUAUUCGAUUCGAUUAAUAAAUAAAUAGAUAAAUAUUAUAUAUAUAUAUAUAUAUAUUGAAUAUAUAUCUAAUUUUAAAAUAUUAAAUUAGAUAUUAAAAAAAUUGAAAAUUUGAGAUACACGCCUAUUCCCUAAAUUUGAAACACACACCUAUCCCACGCCUGUAUCCCCUAUUAUUUGAAACACACGCAUUUUCCCUUUACAUUGCUUUUUCUCUCUCAUUUCAUUAACCUAAUUUCUAUUUGUUUCCGCCGCCCCGCCCCCCACACACCAGACCACUAUCGCCGCCCUCACGGCUCACACGCUGCCAGCUCCAGCCAGCCUUCUCUGCCGCCGCCGACCACACCCUACUGACGUCGUUGGAUCCUCAGGCUGCAUCGGUCCGUCUUCUCCGCUGCGGGCUGCCCGUCGCCACUCGCCAGCAACUAACGUCGCUCGUCUCCAGUCGCCAGCACCCCGCCACGGCGUCGCCUCUCCUCCAACUGUCGUCUGAGAAAUCUCCCCUUCCCUCUCCUCUGCUGCGCCGCUACUUUAUUUUUUGAGUUAUUGCAAGAACGCAGAUAUUACAUAUUGCUGAAUGUGAUUUCUGUUUAAGAAAUCUAGUGUUUUAUGAAAUCUAAUAGCUGCAUUGAUGAAUGUGAUGUAUGCUGUAGUAUACUUUUACUUUUAAUUCU